GGCUUCUUGUUUAUUUAGGAAGUCUGGCCUGCCCAGUGAAUUAUUAUUUAACGGCCGCGGUAUUUUGACCGUGCAAAGGUAGCAUAAUCAUUAGUCUUUUAAUAGGGGGCUGGAAUGAAAGGUUUGACGAAACAUUAACUGUCUCAUUAUAAUAUUGUAAAAUUUAACUUUUGAGUUAAAAGGCUCAAAUUUCUUUGGAAGACGAGAAGACCCUAUAGAGCUUUAUAGUUAAUUUUAUAAUAGGCCUUUUGUUACAUAUGAGUUUAUAUAAUAUUAUUUAUUUUGUUGGGGUGGCAGUAAAUAUAAGUGUAACUUUUAUAUUUUUAGGCAUUUAUUUAUGUUUAUUAGAUCCUUUAUUAUUGAUCAUUAGACUAAGUUACCUUAGGGAUAACAGCGUAAUCUUCUUUGGAAGCUCAUAUUUACAAGAAGGCUUGCGACCUCGAUGUUGGAUUAAGAUAAUAAUUGGGUGUAGCCGCUCAGCUAAUAGGUCUGUUCGACCUUUAAAUUCUUACAUGAUCUGAGUUCAGACCGG
rnacentral:rRNA from 1 species